GACGUAGGGGGCGAGCGUUGUCCGGAUUUAUUGGGCGUAAAGCGUGCGUAGGCGGCUGCGCAAGUCGGUUGUGAAACCCCGGGGCUCAACCCCGGAACUGCAUCCGAUACUGCGUGGCUAGAGGUAGGUAGGGGAGAUCGGAAUUCCUGGUGUAGCGGUGAAAUGCGCAGAUAUCAGGAGGAACACCGGUGGCGAAGGCGGAUCUCUGGGCCUUACCUGACGCUCAGGCACGAAAGCUAGGGGAGC
rnacentral:rRNA from 1 species